GAUGGGGUCAUCCUUGUAGAUCUCUGGACAUUUCCCUAGUGCCACAAUUCUCUUUAAACCUAUAAUGUCUCCCUCUAUGAUGGUAUCUCUUUUCUUGCUCUCCUCUAUUCUCCCCCUGACUAGAUCUUCCUGCUCCCUCAAGUCUUUCUCUCCUCUUCUUUUCCCCUUCUCUUUAUUCUAACUCCCUGUCCCUUCCCCCAUGCUCCCAAUUAGCUCAGGAGAUUUUAUCCCUUUCCCCUUCUUGGGGGACCAUGUAUGUCUCUCUUACGGUCCUCCUUGUUUCCUAGCUUCUCUAAUAUGGGACUCAUUAUAAUUAGAUUAGAAUUUUGGGGACUGAUAUAGAGUCAAGGUUAUUGCCUGAGAUUAACAUGAUACUUUCAAUAUCUUCAUUAGAUCUUAGUAGAUGCAUUGACUUGUGAUUUAUUACAUUGAGAGAAGUAAGAAAUUCCUAUUAAGAAGGAUAAUUAUGACUUAAGUGAAUGACCUAAACUGAACACAGAAGGAAGGAAUCAAGGAGUGGAAUAAAAUUCUGCAAAAUCAGACUUCUAUUGAAUGUUAACACGUCGCUGUUGGAUAAAAUCUCAGAAAAGGACCAUUUGGAAGAACUGUUACCAUGGUCCAUUGUUUCUUGGGGCUCCACUGGGGGCUGUGAGUCCCCUGGGAUGUCAACACUCAGGAUCUGAGCAUCACACUGAAUUCCUUCAAUCAUUCUUUGGAGGUUAAAGCUCUCCCAUCUCCUCCCGAGAGAUUAUAAACUACGAUGCUUUAGUGAGAUUUCUACAGUUCCACCCCCCUGCCUUGCCUUUCUCUAAAGAAGUGGUUCUCAACCUACCUAAUGUUGCGACCCUUCAGUACAGUUCCUCAUGUCGUGGUGACCCCCAAUUAUAAAAUUAUUUUCACUGCUACUUCAUCACUAUUAUUUUAUUACUGUUAUGAAUUGCAAUGCAAAUAUCUGUGUUUUCUGAUGGUCUUAGGCAGCCCCUGUGAAAGGGUCAUUUGACCCCCAAAAGAGUCUGGUUGAGAACUAUUGCUCUAAAGCAUCCUUCUUGUCCGUUUUGUCUUUUUCCUCU
rnacentral:lncRNA from 1 species